rnacentral:rRNA from 1 species
GUUGAACGCUGGCGGCGUGCCUUACACAUGCAAGUCGAGCGAACGGACGAGGCGAUUGCUUCUCUCAUGUCAGCGGCGGCCGGGUUAGUACCACGUGUCUAACCUACCUGUACGACUGGGAUAGCUUCCGGAAACCGUAGCUAAUACCGGAUAAUAUUUUCAUCCGCAUGGUUCAAGAGCCCAAGACCGUCUCGCUGUCCCUUACAGAUGGAUCCGCGCUGCAUUAGCUAGUUGGUAAGGUAACGGCUUACCAACGCAACGAUGCAUAGCCGACCUGAGAGGGGGACCGGCCACACUGGAACUGAGACACGGCCCAGACUCCUACGGGAGGCAGCAGUAGGGAAUCUUGCGCAAUGGGCGCAAGCCUGACGCAGCAACGCCGCGUGAAGGAGGAAGGCCUUCGGAUCGUAAAACACUGUUAUUAGGGAAGAACAUGUGUGUAAGUAAAUCUGCACAUCUUGACGGUACCUAAUCAAAAAGCCACGGCUAACUACGUG